rnacentral:rRNA from 1 species
GAGUUUGAUCCUGGCUCAGGAUGAACGCUAGCGACAGGCCUAACACAUGCAAGUCGAGGGGCAGCGAAGAGGUAGCAAUACCUUUGUCGGCGACCGGCGCACGGGUGAGUAACACGUAUGCAAUCCACCUGUAACAGGGGGAUAACCCGGAGAAAUCCGGACUAAUACCCCAUAAUAUGGGCGCUCCGCAUGGAGAGCCCAUUAAAGAGAGCAAUUUUGGUUACAGACGAGCAUGCGCUCCAUUAGCCAGUUGGCGGGGUAACGGCCCACCAAAGCGACGAUGGAUAGGGGUUCUGAGAGGAAGGUCCCCCACAUUGGAACUGAGACACGGUCCAAACUCCUACGGGAGGCAGCAGUGAGGAAUAUUGGUCAAUGGUCGGCAGACUGAACCAGCCAAGUCGCGUGAGGGAAGACGGCCCUACGGGUUGUAAACCUCUUUUGUCGGAGAGUAAAGUACGCUACGUGUAGCGUAUUGCAAGUAUCCGAAGAAAAAGCAUCGGCUAACUCCGUGCCAGCCGCCGCGGUAAUUC